CCUGGAACGGAGCGUCAUAGAGGGUGAGAAUCCCGUCUUUGACACGGACCCCCGAUGCUAUGUGAUACGCUCUCGAAGAGUCGAGUUGUUUGGGAAUGCAGCUCAAAAUGGGUGGUGAACUCCAUCUAAAGCUAAAUAUUGGCGAGAGACCGAUAGCGAACAAGUACCGUGAGGGAAAGAUGAAAAGCACUUUGGAAAGAGAGUGAAACAGUACGUGAAAUUGUUGAAAGGGAAACGCUUGAAGUCAGUCGCGUCGGCCGGGAUUCAGCCGCAAGGUGUACUUUCCGGUGGACGGGCCAGCAUCACUUUCGAUCGUCGGAGAAGGGCAUGAGGAAUGUGGCACCUUCGGGUGUGUUAUAGCCUCUUGUCGUAUACGGCGACCGGGAGUGAGGACCGCCUUUGUAGGAUGCUGGCGUAAUGGCUUUAAACGACCCGUCUUGAAACACGGACCAAGGAGUCUAACAUGCCCGCGAGUGUUCGGGUGGAAAACCCGUGCGCGUAAUGAAAGUGAAAGUUGGGAAGGCUGUCGCGGCCUGCACCGACGCCCGGACUUGAGAUUUAUCGAAGGUUCUGCGGUAGAGCGUGUAUGUUGGGACCCGAAAGAUGGUGAACUAUGCCUGAAUAGGGUGAAGCCAGAGGAAACUCUGGUGGAGGCUCGUAGCGAUUCUGACGUGCAAAUCGAUCGUCGAAUUUGGGUA
rnacentral:rRNA from 1 species